CUGAUUGCUACCACCUGGAAUGGCAUCUGCAUUUCUCGCCCGGCACUACUAUAUUUAGCAAAUGACUGGGCUUUCCUCUCCCCCUCCGCCAUUUCAAGGGAAGCCAAGCUGCUGGAGGAAGCUUUCCUAAUGGAGGUAAUGAUGCUCAUUUCUAUCAGCUGGGCUAGGAAGCCAUUUCAACUACAGUCAAUUAGUCUUUUCCUUCCAACACCAGGGAAAGAAACCACACCUUCUCUGUAAAGCUGCUUCACCAAGACCCUCAGCGUUCCUUCCUGUGUUUGGAAGGAGUAUUUGUUAGAGAUUUGAGCAGAACGUUUCUGGGCUAUCUCAAAUUGAAACAGUCUGCUGGAACCCAUCCGUACAGCAAUUUGAAAUGAGCUGCUCUGGAUGCUGCGGAGAACAGCCAGUGGAUCUGAAGUUCCAAUUAAAACUGUGUUUGGACCAUUGCUUUAUUGCCUGCCCAUACUUAAUCUCUCUUGAAAGCACCAUCAUUUAUCUGAAGCAAAAGAAGAACAAGGGUUAUUUCUGUAAGGAGCCUUGACUUGUUUUCAUGACUCGGGGCCCACUUUGUCAGAGAUGGAGCAGAUGGACUGCAAACCCUACCAGCCACUGUCGAAAAACAAGCAUGAAAUGGAUCUAGCGUACACCAGCUCUUCGGAUGAGAGCGAAGAUGGAAGGAAAGCAAGACAGUCGUACGAGUCCAGAGAGACGCUCAAUGAAUACAGCCAAGAACUUAGGCUGAAUUAUAACAGCCACAGCAGAAAACGGAAAGCUGUUAAUGAACCCACACAAGGUCUUUACGAAAGGUAUCCAUGCUUCCUUUCCACCCAGCAGUCCAGCAAGGCUGUGUGGCUGGUGCCCUGUGGAACCCCCUGUCAGAUGGGGAGGUGCCGUUGCAUCACGAUGCCUGAGCAGCAUGCCGUGGGCUGUGUCAGGUGUGAGGCCUGGACAAUG